UACGUAGGGGGCAAGCGUUGUCCGGAAUCAUUGGGCGUAAAGAGCGCGUAGGCGGUCCGGUAAGUCCGCUCUGAAAGUCCGGGGCUCAACCCUGGAGAGGCGGCGGAGACCACCGGGCUUGAGUCCGGUAGGGGCAGAGGGAAUUCCCGGUGGAGCGGUGAAAUGCGUAGAGAUCGGGAAGAACGCCAAGGGCGAAGGCACUCUGCUAGGCCUGAUUUCGCGACUGACACUCAGGGACGAGAGCCAGGGGAGCGAAUGGG
rnacentral:rRNA from 1 species